rnacentral:lncRNA from 1 species
AUUCCCAAUGAACAAGUACAAAGUUUAUUGGUGAUGCAACUUCAGGUUGUCGGCGUUCCAUGUUCGGGGAAUGGGUUUUCCUUCUAGAGUCUCCAGUCGGUAGGCCCUCGGACCAUAGGUGUCUGCUACCGUGUAGGGCCCUUCCCAGUUCGGAGCCAGCUUCCCUUGGUCCAGGGGCUUCGAGACCUCUGCCUUUCUCAGGACUAAGUCACC